GAUGGCUUCAGGUGAGGACCCUGGUAGAGGAUUGAUCAAAAACAUUUUUAAUAAGCGAACCAAGAAGAUCACUACAGCUGGACCAGCUAGGUCAGUACGUACUGAGGGGACCACCUCGUCUCAGUCUGCUACACAGUUUCUACCAACUACACAGACUCAGCUUGCUACACAGUCUCAGCUUGCUACACAGUCUCAGCCUGCUACACAGACUCUGCCUACCACUCAGCCUUUACCCACUCCUGGAGCUAGUAGCCCGCAGUUCUACUCAGCAGACCCCGGAUUUCCUUCACUAGAUCCCGCGCAGAGUACUCCUUUCCAUACUAUGCACCCCCACCUUAUGCUGGUGCCCCUCCUACUUACCCAUUUCCACCAUAUGCUCCACCAUACUAUCCCCCACCACCCCAUCAGCCUUCUACAGUUGGACCUUCGACACCGGCUGCACCAGAGCAGACGAUAGAUGGUAGAAUGUUGAUAGCACCUGAGGAAGACACGUUCUACCCAUCAAAACAACCGACACAUAAAAUACGGGACAUCAUACGAAGCAGGUUUGACGCUCCUUACGUUUCUUGGAAGAAAGUCCCGAAAGAAGUUCGGGAUGUGUGGUUUAGAGAGUUUGAGAAAGAAUUUUGUUGGCUGCCCCAUCACAAUGACAGGAUUAGAAAGACUUUUGAGAAGCGUGGGUCUACUCGGAUGCACGACAUGUUCACAGAUAUUAGAAAGUCUGGGAAGCGACCAUUGUGGAUUGGAGAGGUUAUAUAGGCUGAGUUGAACACUACUUGGGGCAGCGAAGAGUAUACUAGGAGGGAUCAAAAUUGACAGAACAGAGCUUCUGAUGUUGGGGGCUUGGAUAGUUUACUUCAUACUGGCGGCUCCGUACCACAUACUGAGCACAGACGUCGUUUGGUAAUGAAUUUAAACGUUUUUUAAAUUGUUCUUUAAUAUAAAUAUUAAUAUAAUUCUCUUAAUUCUAACAGAAAGAUAUGCUGGAUAGAGAACCAACUUUUGUGGAAUUGCAUAGUCGUACUCAUAAGCGAUAGGAGGAUCAACAAUGGAUUGAUGAGAGAGCAAGAAAAGCCCAUGUAAGUAUAUGUGCUUAAUAUUUUCUAUUUUUAGUUUAGUUGUGUAUAUUUAUAUUCUACUUUCACAGGAGGAACACACGACUUCGAGAGAUUCAUGCUGCAUCAGGUGAGGGCUCCUCUGGUUGCUCUGUGGAGUUUUUUGAGUAUCGCAUCUGGUCGCAGGCCGUCGGAGGAAUGCAACAUGGUUAUGGUUUAGGUUCCCAUGCUCAGGCAUACUAGGGGAUGACCUCCUCUACUGCAUCCAGCUUCGUAUCCAGUUCACAUGAGUCCUUACAUGCUCAACAAAUAAGUGUCCUUCAAGCUGAGCUAGAACAAGUAAGGAAAUCAUAAGCUGAUUGGCAAGCUCAGCUGCAAGCACAGGUUCAAAUGUAGAUGCAGGAGCAAUAAAAUCAGUUGUUGGAUGAAAUGCGCAAGAUGAGGGAGCAGCUGAGUGGAAAAGAGGUAGCUCCAGCUGAGGAGUCCACGGAGUCAGAGUAGUUUAGUUUUGUUUAUAUGAACUUGUUUAUUUAUGUGAACAUGUGUUAUUGAACAAUAAGUGAUAUUUUGAGUUAUUUGAUGCUAUUGAACAAUGUCUUUACAUGGAUAUUUAUGUUUUUGAGUAUAUAUUGACGCUGUUUAUAUCUGUUAUGUAUAUGGCUGUCUUCUAAAAGUGGUUUUGUAUAUGUUUGUAGGUGUGGAAAUGCGAUUGUUGGUUGGGAAGGAAAUUUUUUUUGUUAAUGCUACAGGUUUCCGAUGGACUUUGCGAUGGUAAUUCGACAGAAAUGACGAUUCAACGAAUCAUUACGAUCAUGCCAUAGUUUAUUUGGACGCUUGCAAUAACCGGCGCCAUUUACGGCGUCCUAUCCGCCGGUGGUUUCCGGCAUACAAUAUGCGCCGUAAACUAGCCUUAGCUUAUUUGUGGCGCACAUCUACGACGUUUUAUCUGCCGAAAAUUUCUGGUGGAUCAAUACAAC